rnacentral:lncRNA from 1 species
UGAAUCCUAGCAACACUCAUCUCCAACUCAGUCUUCUCUGCUUGCAGUUGAUCUCUGGCUUUCUUCAUCUCAAGGAACUCUUCCAUGCUGACAGAAGAACGUGGCCCCUCAAUCAAAGGACACCAAGGAUCACCCCCAAGAAAUGGUAAAUGCGUGAGCUCAAUCCUCUUCCUAAGCCAAUCAUCAAAGGGAGGAAAAGACCUGCUAUUAACCUGACCAAAAGGAACCUUGCCCUUCC